rnacentral:rRNA from 1 species
UGAAUACGAGACGCUAAGGCGUCGAAGUAGUGUAUGUCAUACUUCCAAGAAAAGCUUGCACUGUCAUAGAUAAAAAACGCCUGUACCAUAACCGACACAGGUGGGUAGGUAGAGUAUACUAAGGGGCGCGAGAUAACUCUCUCUAAGGAACUCGGCAAAAUAACUCCGUAACUUCGGGAGAGGGAGUGCCUUAUUCGUAAGGUUGCAAUAACAAGAUCCAAGCGACUGUUUAUCAAAAACACAGGUCUCCGCUAAGUCGUAAGACGAUGUAUGGGGGCUGACGCCUGCCCAGUGCCAGAAGGUUAAAGAAGUUGGUUAGCAAUUGCGAAGCUGAUAACUGAAGCCCUGGUGAACGGCGGCCGUAACGAUAACGGUCCUAAGGUAGCGAAAUUCCUUGUCGGGUAAGUUCCGACCCGCACGAAAGGCGUAAUGAUUUGGAUACUGUCUCGGAGAGGGGCUCGGUGAAAUAGACUUGUCUGUGAAGAUGCGGACUACCUGCACCAGGACAGAAAGACCCUAUGAAGCUUACUGUAACUUGAAAUUGAAAUUGGACUUUAUUCGCGCAGUAUAGGUGGGAGGCGUUGAUUAUAAUCUUGUGGGAUUAUUGGAGCCAUCAGUGAGAUACCACUCUUGUAAUGUUAGAUUUCUAACUUUGAAUCAUUAUCUGGUCAAAGAACAGUUCCAGGCGGGCAGUUUGACUGGGGCGGUCGCCUCCUAAACGGUAACGGAGGCGUACAAAGGUUUCCUCUGAACGGUUAGAAAUCGUAUCUAGAGUGUAAAGGCAUAAGGAAGCUUGACUGUGAGUCCUACAAGUCGAGCAGGGACGAAAGUCGGUCUUAGUGAUCUGACGGUACUGAGUGGAAAGGCCGUCACUCAACGGAUAAAAGUUACUCUAGGAUAACAGGCUGAUCUCCCCCAAGAGUUCACAUCGACGGGGAGGUUUGGCACCUCGAUGUCGGCUCAUCGCAUCCUGGGGCGGUAGUACGUCCCAAGGGUUGGGCUGUUCGCCCAUGAAGGCGGUACGCGAGCUGGGUUCAGAACGUCGUGAGACAGUUCGGUCCAUAUCCGGUGUAGGCGUUAGAAUAUUGAGAGGAGCCUUCUUUAGUACGAGAGGACCGAGAAGGACAUACCUCUGGUGUACCAGUUAUCGUGCCAACGGUAAACGCUGGGUAGCUAUGUAUGGAGUGGAUAACCGCUGAAAGCAUCUAAGUGGGAGGCCCACCUCAAGAUAAGUAUUCUC